CUUCUAUUCCAUUGUGACAAGUGUUAACCCUAAGAGUGAUGAAUCCUUAUUUGAUAUUCCAGGAGUAUGGGAAGAAAAUAAUCCUCCAGGACUUGCUCGUAAUAUCCCACCAAUACAUAUUGAGUUAAAGCUCGGGGUGUAUCCUGUUAGCCUUUUUGUAUGUUGUUCUUUUAUCUACCCCAACAGCUGUAAAGGUGGCGGAAGUGACUCCAUGGAUUCAUCAAUCUAAGUUUAAACCAGCAGCAGACUCUUGGC